rnacentral:rRNA from 1 species
GACGAACGCUGGCGGCGUGCUUAACACAUGCAAGUCGAACGGAAAGGCCCUGCUUUUGUGGGGUUCUCGAGUGGCGAACGGUUGAGUAACACGUGAGUAACCUGCCCUUGACUUUUGGAUAACUUCAGGAAACUUGGGCUAAUACCGGAUAUGAGCUCCUGCUGCAUGGUGGGGGUUGGAAAGUUUCGGCGGUUGGUGAUGGACUCGCGGCUUAUCAGCUUGUUGGUGGGGUAGUGGCUUACCAAGGCUUUGACGGGUAGCCGGCCUGAGAGGGUGACCGGCCACAUUGGGACUGAGAUACGGCCCAGACUCGUACGGGAGGCAGCAGGGGGGAAUAUUGCACAAUGGGCGGCAGCCUGAUGCAGCAACGCCGCGUGCGGGAUGACGGCCUUCGGGUUGUAAACCGCUUUCGCCUGUGACGAAGCGUGAGUGACGGUAAUGGGUAAAGAAGCACCGGCUAAGUACGUG